UCUUCGGACCUUGCGCUAAUAGAUGAGCCUAAGUCGGAUUAGCUAGUUGGUGGGGUAAAGGCCUACCAAGGCGACGAUCUGUAGCGGGUCUGAGAGGAUGAUCCGCCACACUGGGACUGAGACACGGCCCAGACUCCUACGGGAGGCAGCAGUGGGGAAUAUUGGACAAUGGGCGCAAGCCUGAUCCAGCCAUGCCGCGUGUGUGAAGAAGGCCUUUUGGUUGUAAAGCACUUUAAGCGAGGAGGAGGCUCCUUUAGUUAAUACCUAAAGUGAGUGGACGUUACUCGCAGAAUAAGCACCGGCUAACUCUGUGCCAGCAGCCGCGGUAAUACAGAGGGUGCGAGCGUUAAUCGGAUUUACUGGGCGUAAAGCGUGCGUAGGCGGCUUUUUAAGUCGGAUGUGAAAUCCCUGAGCUUAACUUAGGAAUUGCAUUCGAUACUGGAAAGCUAGAGUAUGGGAGAGGAUGGUAGAAUUCCAGGUGUAGCGGUGAAAUGCGUANGAGAUCUGGAGGANANUACCGAUGGCGAAGGCAGCCANUCUGGCCUAAUACUGACGCUGAGGUACGAAAGCAUGGGGAGCAAACAGGAUUAGAUACCCUGGUAGUCCAUGCCGUAAACGAUGUCUACUAGCUGUUGGGGCCUUUGAGGCUUUAGUGGCGCAGCUAACGCGAUAAGUAGACCGCCUGGGNGAGUACGGUCGCAAGACUAAAACUCAAAUGAAUUGACGGGGGCCCGCACAAGCGGUGGAGCAUGUGGUUUAAUUCGAUGCAACGCGAAGAACCUUACCUGGCCUUGACAUACUAAGAACUUUCCAGAGAUGGAUUGGUGCCUUCGGGAACUUAGAUACAGGUGCUGCAUGGCUGUCGUCAGCUCGUGUCGUGAGAUGUUGGGUUAAGUCCCGCAACGAGCGCAACCCUUUUUCUUAUUUGCCAGCGGGUCAUGCCGGGAACUUUAAGGAUACUGCCAGUGACAAACUGGAGGAAGGCGGGGACGACGUCAAGUCAUCAUGGCCCUUACGGCCAGGGCUACACACGUGCUACAAUGGUCGGUACAAAGGGUUGCUACCUCGCGAGAGGAUGCUAAUCUCAAAAAGCCGAUCGUAGUCCGGAUCGCAGUCUGCAACUCGACUGCGUGAAGUCGGAAU
rnacentral:rRNA from 1 species